rnacentral:lncRNA from 1 species
AUGUUCUCAGAGUUGCUGCUGCUGUCUGAACAGCUCAUGUUGUGCUUUGUUUUCCUCCCAGUUCCUCAGGUGGAGGUGGAUUCAGGAGUGGAGUCUGUCUGGCUGCCCUACAAAACUUUAGUUAACUUCCUCAAAGACACUAAAGUGGUGUGGAGGGACAGUUCAGACAGGAAGGUUCAUGUGUGUCAGAACAUCUCUGAGCCUGAAGAUCAGGACCCUGUUUACAGAGACCGAACGAAGAUGAAUGAAAACUUCCUGCAAACCGGAGACCUCAGUCUGAACCUGAAAUACCCCACAGAUGGAGAUAACAACACCUACACCUGCACCGUCUACAGCAAGGAGGGAAAAACCCUGAUGAAGAAACAAGUGGAGCUGAAAGUCAAAGCGCACAUUGUGCUUUGUUUCCCUCUCAGUCCCCAUUGUGGAGGUGGAGCAGUCGGGGGUGGAGUCUGUCCAACUCCCCCUCCAAAUUAAAGUUAACCGGCUGAACGACUCGAAAGUGGAGUGGGUGGACAGUUCAUACAGGAUGCUCUACGUGUACCGGAACAACUCUGACCAACCUGAAGAACAGGACCGCCGAUACAGAAACCGAACAGAGAUGAAUGAAGACCUGCUGAUAACUGGAGACCUCAGUCUGACUCUGAAACACCCCACAGACUGGGACAGAGGGCCCUACACCUGCACCGUCUACAGCGGGGAGGGAAACAUCCUGAUGAGGAAACAAGUGGACCUGAAAGUUGCAGGUCAGUGCUGCAGUGUGCGUGUGUGUGUGUGUGUGUGUGUGUGUGUGUGUAAUCCAAGUUUCAUGGGAUCUGCUUGAACUUCAUUUUCAUAUUAUAUAAAGCAGUGGUUCCCUGGUGGUGAGUAGGGAUGGGUAUCAUUUAGGUUUUAUCUGAUACCAGUACCAAACUGGUACUUUUGAAACGGUGCCGGUGGUUAAAUGGUGCUUAAAGAAUGGAGAACACAAACUUUUUCAAAAACCUCUCAUGUUAGCUGUUUUUUUUUUUGUUUUUUUUGUAAAAAGAUAACAAUGUUAGCCUUUUCUGCUGCUACAGGAUGUGAGUGAAGUUGCACCAACCCCCCCCCCCACCUUCUUCAAAUCCAACAAAAGUGGUAUCAAACGUUUGUGCUACGUUUAUGCUGCAAAAAUUUUGUUUGUGUCGCUAUCAUUUUAAAGAUAUCAAUAGAAAUUUCUAGAGGUCAUCAGAGGUCAACCAGCCCCCCCACAUUAAUGGAAUCCCAAAAGGAAAAAUCCAAAAGGAAAUCCCAAAAGGUUGAUUCUGUUCAUCUGGACAUUUUCAGUUGGAGAAACGUUUCGUCACUCAUCCAAGUGACUUCUUCAGUCUCAGCUGACUGCAGGUUUCCCCAAACCUUAUAAACACAACAUUUGCAUAGUGAAGGAAACCAGCCCACUGAAGGAACAAUGUGCUGUGAGGUCAGUUCCAUGAUUGUUAGUAUGCAAAUUCUUAUGACCAUUGAUCAAUGACAACUAAUCAAAGUCUACUGAUCAAUGGCCAUGAGUACCAUUCACAGAAAGUGGGGAAUGGCUACAAUCACAGCAUUGUAGGAUGGCAAAAGACGUACCCUUGGGCCCCCCUUCUCGAUUCAGAGAUGGUCAGCAUCCUGACAGCCCGAUGGACGAAGCUGUCUCUCAGUCUCUCUCUCAGCUAGCUACAUCCAACUUUUUCAUCCAGACUAAAAAAGAACACACAGAUAAAAAACUAAAUACAACAACAAAAACAACAUGACAUAAAUAUUAAAUGAAGGAAGAAAAAUUGAAAAAUAUUACAGUCUGACAUGCAGCUCUAUGGUUUGUUGCACCUUCUUUGAGGAUUGCAUGGUCUGAAUUUGGGGAAAGUGGCAGCCGUCAUUUCUUGUGAAUAAUUUCUCACUGUAAGUAACUAAUGUGUAUUUAUAUAGUGCUUUUGUUUUUCUGCCACUGUAAAUAAGAAUGCGCUCUUUCCUUGAUUAGAUAAAGGUUACUCUGACUCACUGCUCCACCUUGUGGCUGAAAUUGCUAUUACAUAGAAGUGCAGCUAAGCCCCAGGUCCAACUUCAAUUUUUUUUUUAAAUUUGUUCGUCUUUUGAUAAUUAAACUCUAAUUACUUAUGUCUGUAGUUGUAGAUGGUUGGUGGUUAUUAAACACAAGAAGUACUGCACUGACUUGAACAUCCUGUCAGUCUUUUAAAUAUAAGAUUACAUUUUGCUGCUCUAUAAGUUGUGAUAUAAAGUUGCAGAAAUCUCUGUUAUAUUCAAGGAUUACUAACAAAUACUACUAUUUCCCUGGUGAACAAAAAGAUUAAAAUGUAACUGGGAUAAAACUUUAGAGUACUAAGAUUCCUCACAUCAUGUUCACCAGGGAGGACAAAGGAUAACUGUUUGCUGAGCUGAGGCCUAUAUGCAGUCCACCUUUGUUUUUGCAUCUUCGUUCACUUUGAAAUAGUUCCACACGGCUCACUUGUCUCGCCUUCUUCCAGCUCCGAGCUGCAGCUGGGGCCUGGGGGCGGGCACUCGGCGCCUGUGAUUAACCCCUUACAUGCCGCUCAAACAUAGACAGGUCUCAGACCGUGGUAUUGGUCCCCAGUAUCGGGGAACUUUUAACGAGAACUUUAGAAAAUGUGGUAUCGAGGCCGAUACCAGAUACCGGUAUGGAUAUCGGUGCAUCCCUAGUGGUGACGUCAACAAAAAACACAUUUCCUGUUUGCAUACAUUUUUUACAAAUAAGAUAUUAUGGGAGAAGGAGGGAGGAGUGUGCAUAACACAGGAUGAAUGGACUCAAAUAUGGAAAGAACAAUGGAAAUGCACUACCUCACAAAGAUGGAGGGAAUUUGGAUGGAAAAUUUUGAUUAGGUUCUUUAUCACCUCUUACCAAAAGAUUUAUUAUGAUGGGAAUCCCCCGUAUGCUGGAGAAAAUAUGGACACAGAUGACUACACCUCUGAUAUUUGCAGGCAGAAUUUUAAACCUUGGGUGAAAUGGGGUCAAUGCAGUUCUUAAGCAUGCAUGCAAAUGUUCAUUAGUCAGCUGUGAGCGAGUCUUUCCCAUUCAUCUUUAAAUGCCAGAUUUUCACUUCAGGAAGCACACAGCCCCACUCCACUGUUGGCCAACGCCCUCAACGACUUUUACUGCCGGUUUGAUGAGACAUCAAGCAGCUUUCACAACUCAAUAGAGAAUUCCCCAACAAUAGAGACACUUUGGUCACUCAUGGUAAUGGUAAAUGGACUGAUUCUUAUAUAGCGCUUUUCUACUCUCCCGGAGUAUCAAAGCGCUCUAUACAACACACAAACUCCUCCUCAGACAAUAUAUUUACCCUUCUGUGCCAUUUCAUGUUUAGGUCAGUUAUGUUUGUUUAGGUCAGUUAUAUUUCUUUGUGCAGUCAUUUGGUUUGUUAAGUUUGCAGUUCUUUGCCUGAGUUCAGUUUUGUUUCUUUGACAUUUUUUAUGAGCUUAACAUUAAUUACUUUUGUAAAUAUAAUAUUUGGGUUAAAUGAAUGAAAACUUUGUUUUUCUAAUAAUUCUUGUGACUGCUUUUUCAACUUGGUUCAUCACACAGCCCUAAAUAUUUGUUUAAUGUCCUGGUCAAAUAUUACUCCAAGGUGUUACUGGAGGCCAAGGUAAUGCCAUCCAGAGCAAGUAUCUGGUUAGAUACCAUAUUUCUAGGUAUUUAAGGGCCAAGUAUAAUCAGCAGCAUAAAGUUAGUUGUCACCCAGGUCUUUAUAUCAAGCUCUGCUGUGUUCAAGCUAUUAAUUACUGCACGCAGGAGAGCCAAAACACACAUCAAACAUUCAGUUAUGCCAGCUUUAACCUUGGGAUGCCUCAGCUUCUCUUUUAUAUCCCCCACACUCAACUCUCUGCAUCAGGAAGCUCCUGCCACUGGUCACCCUGGGAGUUUCGUCCUUCUACACCCUAACAGUUAGCAGAUAACG